rnacentral:rRNA from 1 species
CUACGGGGCGCAGCAGUGGGGAAUAUUGGACAAUGGGGGAAACCCUGAUCCAGCAAUGCCGCGUGUGUGAAGAAGGCCUGCGGGUUGUAAAGCACUUUCGGUUGGGAGGACUGCUUCUAGCACUAAUAUUGUUGGAAGUUGACGUUACCUUCAGAAGAAGCACCGGCUAACUCCGUGCCAGCAGCCGCGGCAAUACGGAGGGUGCAAGCGUUAAUCGGAAUUACUGGGCGUAAAGCGCGCGUAGGCGGCUAGAUCAGUCGGGUGUGAAAGCCCCGGGCUUAACCUGGGAACUGCAUCCGAUACUGUCUAGCUUGAGUACAGGAGAGGAGAGUGGAAUUCCACAUGUAGCGGUGAAAUGCGUAGAUAUGUGGAGGAACACCAAUGGCGAAGGCAGCUCUCUGGCCUGAUACUGACGCUGAGAUGCGAAAGCGUGGGGAGCAAACAGGAUUAGAUACCCCAGUAGUC